rnacentral:rRNA from 1 species
AACGAACGCUGGCGGCAGGCUUAACACAUGCAAGUCGAACGCAUCGCAAGAUGAGUGGCAGACGGGUGAGUAACGCGUGGGAACAUACCCUUUUCUACGGAAUAGCUCUGGGAAACUGGAAUUAAUACCGUAUACGCCCUACGGGGGAAAGAUUUAUCGGGGAAGGAUUGGCCCGCGUUGGAUUAGCUAGUUGGUGGGGUAAGGGCCUACCAAGGCGACGAUCCAUAGCUGGUCUGAGAGGAUGAUCAGCCACAUUGGGACUGAGACACGGCCCAAACUCCUACGGGAGGCAGAAGUGGGGAAUAUUGGACAAUGGGCGCAAGCCUGAUCCAGCCAUGCCGCGUGAGUGAUGAAGGCCUUAGGGUUGUAAAGCUCUUUCACCGAUGAAGAUAAUGACGGUAGUCGGAGAAGAAGCCCCGGCUAACUUCGUGCCAGCCGCCGCCGUAAAAC